rnacentral:rRNA from 1 species
AAAGUCUGACCUGCCCUAUGAAUUUUUAAAUGGCUGCGGUACUCUGACCGUGCAAAGGUAGCAUAAUAAUUAGUUUUUUAAUUGGGAACUGGUAUGAAAGGUCGAACGAGAAAAAGACUGUCUCAAUUUAAUUUUUAUUAGAACUUUAUUUUUAAGUAAAAAAGCUUAAAUAAUAUUAAAAGACGAGAAGACCCUAUAGAGUUUUAUAAUUUUAUAUAUUAUUGAAAGUUAAAGUAUUAUAGAUUUGAUAAUAUAUAAACUUAUUUGGUUGGGGCGACUAAAAAAUUGAUUAAACUUUUUUUAUUUAUAAACAUUGAUAUAUGACUAAGUGAUCCA